CCGGGGGCCCCCGCUCCGCUCUCCGUGCGUGUGUGACCAGCUGCUGCAGUCUAUAUAAGGAAUUACAUUUACAUUUCAGGCUUAAGGGCUGCUGUGGGGUGGUGUUUUUUUCCCCUUUGGUACGUGUGUUACUUUAAGAUGCAAUGGGUAGGUACACGGCGGGGGGAAUAAAGGCUCGUAACACCCACUCUCUACUUAUUUUCUGGAAAAUGGAGAAGUAGUUCGGUCCUCGUAGCACGACUCUUCGGAAUAGGAUGUAGAGUAGGCGAUUUUGUAACCCUCCUUGGCAAUUUUAGGUUUUAUGUGGCAUUUCCUGUGCAGGGUCACAGAUAGGAAGGCUUUGCCUGCGAUCGGAGAUGUUUUCAUAUGCAGUGAACGGUCUCUGAAAUAGAUCGGAGUCACGAUCGGUGCUUCACCUCUCUAAUCCUCCCUGUUGGGGCAUAACGUGGUGAUAAAUGACGGCCUUUCCAGGGGCUAACGGAUAAGUAGUACUCCUGAGUGACAGUCAAGAAGAAUGGGAAUCUCAGUCAAGAGCAGUGAGACUUGAUGGAUAAAAUACUGACUCCAGUUAAAUGCAGUGUAGCUUUAUAACUCUAUUUCAGUACUCCUGAGAAAGAAUACUCCUUCCAUCACACAGAAUGUAAGCACCUUUCAGCAGUAAGAAUGUAUGUACUGAGUCUUCCUGCAUCUUGGCCUAUACAUCCAAUUCCUUGUGCAUCCAUCCACAGAUGUGUAUAUGGAAGAAAGCAAAAUGAUAUAACAAAACAUCACAAAUGUGGCAUGAUUUGAAAAAAGCCUGGGGAAAUCUAUUCCAUCUGAAAAAGGACAAACUAAAGAACAGAAAAAUCAGGCCUUAACUACAAGACUUAAGUUGAUUUUUGUUGAACUGACUGUACUUUGAAGCAUUUUAGUAAGAAGUUCAAACUUGGCAGUGGAGAAAUAAUACCAACGUAGAUCUG